GCAGCAGUGAGGAAUAUUGGUCAAUGGGCGAGAGCCUGAACCAGCCAUCCCGCGUGCAGGAUGACGGCCCUACGGGUUGUAAACUGCUUUUAUGUACCAAGAAUGUGUUCUACGUGUAGGAUUUUGACGGUAGUACAUGAAUAAGCAUCGGCUAACUCCGUGCCAGCAGCCGCGGUAAUACGGAGGAUGCAAGCGUUAUCCGGAUUCAUUGGGUUUAAAGGGUGCGUAGGCGGCUAUAUAAGUCAGUGGUGAAAUGCUGCAGCUCAACUGUAGAACUGCCAUUGAAACUGUAUAGCUUGAGUGCGCCUGAGGUAGGCGGAAUGAGUAGUGUAGCGGUGAAAUGCUUAGAUAUUACUCAGAACACCGAUUGCGAAGGCAGCUUACUAAAGCGUAACUGACGCUGAUGCACGAAAGCGUGGGGAGCGAACAGGAUUAGAUACCCUGGUAGUCCACGCCGUAAACGAUGAUAACUCGCUGUUGGCGAUACACAGUCAGCGGCUUAGCGAAAGC
rnacentral:rRNA from 1 species